GUGCUAUAUGAAAGGACAGAAGGUUAGCACUCCCCUGGACAAGGAUGGAAGAGGUCCUCAGGCCUGACAACACACAUAUGACUGCCAACACAGGAGACAUCGGUUCAAUCUCUGGGUCAGAAAGAUCC
ensembl:snRNA